GUAAAACAAACCUGCUUCGACGGAGAGGCCAUUUGGCUUGCCUCCGAAGCACCUCAGCUGGGUGUAGAUCAAGCGCGGUGUGUGAUUCGCCCCACCGAGAACUGCGAAGAUCACUCACGGUGGAACACCGUACCAUUGAUUUUUUCCUGUUCCGCGGAGGAGGAAGACUGGCAUCAUGGUAGAUAGUCCGUUAAUGGUGGCCGGUGUAUUUGGUGAUCCUCCGGCCGGACAUCUCGACGCAACUGGCGAUGUUGUGCUUGAUAGGAUCGACUCUACGCACAUAUGCGGUAGCAUGCCCAUGGUGACGAACGGUACAACGAACAAUGCCGGGCAAACGGAUCCUUGCGUCGGUGGAGCGUUGAUGACGAUCAAUUCGGAAGGAUGGAAACGGAGGGUGAGAGUGCCUGCUGGGACGUUGGAACAGCCGUCAAAUCCAGCUAGAGCGUCAGCGCUGGAGCUGUCGGUGAAGAAAUUUGUGGAGAAGAGAAGCCAGUUCGUCGUCUACCCUGCAGUAGCGACGAAAUUUGAUAGCCUGGAUGACGCUUACAAUUUUUACAACCUGUAUUCUUGGGAGAUAGGUUUUGGGGUCAGGUAUGCAAAGUGCAGGCUCAACGUGCACAGGCAGAAAUGCAUGCAGGAGAUUGUUUGUGGUUGCGCGGGAAGCCGGUCAAGGAGAACACCAAGACUAUCAGGUGCGCCUGCACCGCAUUGAUUAGGCUUCUUCGUUCGGAUGAUGGCGGCUGGUACAUAUGUGAGCACAGAGAGACUCACAAUCACCCAUUGUCAACCACCUGUGGCGAGAAGCUGCAUUGGCAAUCACAUAGGCACAUCGACCGUUACACUAAGGAGUUAAUUAAGCAGCUUAGGGAGAACAACGUUAGCUUGGGAAAAGUUUAUAGCAUCAUAGGUAGUUUCUUCGGUUCGAUGGACCAAAUUCCUUUCAUGAAGCGCUCCUUGAAAACACUCUGCGGCAAGAUUAGCCAGGAACAGUCCGACAACGAUGCGGUGAAAACAAUGGACGUCUUCAGUAAGAUGCUUGAAGCUGAUCCUGAUUUCAAGUAUACCGCCCAAGUGGACGACGAAAGCAGGAUUAAAACAUUGAUGUGGACUUCUGGUAGGAGCAUGUAUCAGUAUAUUUGUUUUGGUGACGUACUAAUGGUUUGACACAACGUAUAGAACAAACCUAUAUGACAUGCCUUUCAGCCUUUUCGUGGGAGUUAACAACCACUUCCAGAGCAUAAUCCUGGGUGGGGUGCUCAUGCGUGACGAGAAGGUGGAAACUUUCAAGUGGGUGUUCGCCAAAUUCAUGAGGAUGAUAGGCGGGAAGGACAAGCACCUGAAGACUAUACUGACAGACCAGGCCCGGGCCAUGGAGGUGGCAAUAGCUGAUGUCUUUCCAAAUACGAUGCACAGGUGGUGCAAGUGGCAUGUGCUCAAGAAGGCAAAAGAAUCCCUCGGCGCUUUGUAUGGUAAACGUAGCGAGUUUCGUACAGAUUUCCACCACGUGGUAGACAUGAUGUGCAGCGAAGAGGAGUUUGAGAAAUGUUGGACCGAGAUGAUUGGUAAGUA